GACGAACGCUGGCGGCGCGCUUAACACAUGCAAGUCGAACGGUAAGGCCCUUCGGGGUACACGAGUGGCGAACGGGUGAGUAACACGUGGGUGAUCUGCCCUGCACUUCGGGAUAAGCCUGGGAAACUGGGUCUAAUACCGGAUAGGACCACUGCCUGCAUGGGUGGUGGUGGAAAGCUUUUGCGGUGUGGGAUGGGCCCGCGGCCUAUCAGCUUGUUGGUGGGGUGAUGGCCUACCAAGGCGACGACGGGUAGCCGGCCUGAGAGGGUGGCCGGCCACACUGGGACUGAGAUACGGCCCAGACUCCUACGGGAGGCAGCAGUGGGGAAUAUUGCACAAUGGGCGCAAGCCUGAUGCAGCGACGCCGCGUGAGGGAUGACGGCCUUCGGGUUGUAAACCUCUUUCAGCACCGACGAAGCGCAAGUGACGGUAGGUGCAGAAGAAGGACCGGCCAACUACGUGCCAGCAGCCGCGGUAA
rnacentral:rRNA from 1 species